rnacentral:lncRNA from 1 species
UUGGAAUAUUGAAAAAAAGAAAUAAAAUAGUUUCGCUUUGGCGUCCCCACCGCGAUUCCAUUCGGACCUUAUCGCCACGCUUUUCGUAAUUCCUCACCUUUCGAUCGCAAUCUCUUUCUUCACCCACUCACCCACACACAUGCACGCAUUUAUUAUUUUCAGUAAAAAAUUGAAUGAGAAUUUGAUCAUUAUAAAUUUUUUCCCACUCUGUAACUCAUCACAAAAUGGGCACUGGCGCAUCGAGAAAUCCCGAUAGCAGCUCCCAUGGCAGCGAAGAGAGAGACCAAGCCGGCGGUCAACUCUAUGUUUCUCUCAGAAUGGAAAAUUAUAAGCUCAAUGGUGAUAUCAUACCCCAUGUUUACGGCUCGGUACCACUCGUCGGCUCCUGGGACCCCUCUAAAGCCGUAAGUUUGUUUCAUAUUUCCCAAUUUUUUUUUCUAGUUUUAGUACUUCAAUUUAUUGGAAAAGUUAGAGUACAGUUGAUUUUUUCAGUUUCAUAUAAGAUUGUGCAUUUUUGCUAAUAGAUGUUUCUGGGGUUAAAAUUAAGAACACUUUGCUGGCCUAAUUUAUUUUAUUACAAGUCAAUCACUCAAAUUUUCUUUGUGUUUCUUACUUUGUCUUUUCAAGGUAAAAUUAACAGAAUUGCUGACUUAUAUACGAUAUUCUAAAAGAAUUGUUCUAUGUAAAUGCAUUAGUCUUUCGAAAGAAUUAAGCAUUUCUGCCAAUUUGGAUGAGGAAACUUAUACAUCAUUGGGAUUUAUAAGUUACAUAAGUCAGCAGUUCCACCAGUAGACGGAGUGCCUGACCUGAAACAAAAAUGAAAGAACAAGAAUGAAAGUUAAUUGAUUAAUUCGAAACAAAAAUGAAUUCAUUGACUAUUGUGUUUCAACCAAUUUUUCACACAUCCUAUGCUGCUGAAUCUUGUGUUUUUGUAGUUAUUUUUGGUUGGAAUUUUGGGAGAUUUUCGUUCUUUUAGUUGCUAAUAUAUUUUCAUAAACUAUCAGCUUUCGUUGGAACGUGAAUACACAUCUAUGUGGAUAUUAAGUUUUGUGGUCCCUCCUAACCAUGGUAAUUAUGCCCACUGUGUAAGCCAAGAAUUUUUCUCCAUUUUAGUAUUCUUGUAAAAUUGAAGAUUUAAUUAUCUCUUGUUUUUUUACAGACACUUUGGAUUUUAAGUUUCUGUUGAAGCCCAAAUAUUGUAGCUCUCCAUGUAUAGUUGAGGAGGGUCCGAACAGGCAAUUGACAGCGGGUACAUUACAUGGGGAUGGGAGGUCGGCUAUGUUUAAAUUGAGUGGUGAUGAGGUUUUUGAGUACAGAGUAUUUAUUAACGUGGAUAGAGUUUCGCCAUUUGAUCUUGCGGCAAGUUGGAGAGCAUAUCAAGAGAAUCUUCAGCCUUCAACUGUUCGAGGAAUCCCAGAUAUUAGUAUAAAUUCAGCUGCUGAAGCUGGUCCUGAGGUGGGUAUUAAGCUUAUUAUGUACAUGAGAAUUAUUCUCUAAUUGUCGGGUUAUGUUUCUUUAGUAUCGGACAUUUGAAUCCUUUUGACUCAAUAGGAUAUUGCAUGCAUUUGGCCUCUGUAUAUUGUUUGUGGGAUUAAAGGGCCCCGAAGACAUGACUUUCCUGAGAGGAUUUGCAUUUCCCCCCGCUCCAAUUUAUUAUGAUAUAUUUGGACACUUAUGGAAAAAGUAAUGCAUAUUGGUGCAUUAAGCCUUUAUAAAGAAGGGGUGUGGAUGUCUUCUUCUAAGUUAUAUGUUUUUGAAAAAUCAAUCUCACUUUGUGGCUAAAUUUCUACAUACAAGUUCUCUUGUCUUUGGCAAAAAAGCCUUGAAAUAUAUCGAAUGAUAAUUAUUGUCGAAGGAGACAAAUAGUAUAACCUUUAGAGAGCAAGAUACAACUUGGUGCUGACGAAUGAAAAUCAUACAUUUUUCUUGGAUUAAAGACUGCGAUCUUAAUGGCUGUGUAACACUUGUAGAGUUUCUUGAUGAUAUUUUAGAGUUUCUUGGGUCCCUCAAUUCAAUCUAACUUUUACUUUUCAAGAGUUCAAGGUGAAAAAGGAUGGUUUUGGUGCUAUGACUUAGGGAAUGUGCACCAUCUGACCAGACUUUUAUAAUUGUCAAGGAGUAAUUGUACUCAAGUUUGGGUGGGACUUGGGGGUGACUAACACGGUUCACUAAUUUAUUUUCCUGAAUUUUUCUGAUUCGUGAGCAUCCCAAAUGCUAACUAUUAAAAUUCUUCCUUUAUGUAUAGCUUCUUAUGAUUUCUUCUGUACGAUAUCUAUCAAUAUUGAUGGUUUGAUAUAUCAGUUGUAUUUUGACAAUUUCCAAUACAGAAUGGAUCUUCAGCAAGUUUGGAGCUUGAUCUUGAGCACUAUGUUGUCCCUGCUCCAGCUAUGGCUGCAAACUCAGCUCUGGUGUAUGCAGCUAACAUGACAGAAACACCUACGUCACUGAGUCGUUUUGGGGUAUUUUCCUGAACUGAUUGCUCUAGUGGUGGGUUACUACAUUAGAUAAUGGUGUUUCUAGCUGCAACAUCAAUGGUGUCGUUCUUGCCCCAAUCUCUUAUUUCUUAUUCAGACUAUAUUCCACGCUUUGAGAAUUGUCUUGUGUUCAAAAUAAUUGAGUUCGCAAAGCUAGUGGUAAAAUACUGAUAUUGAGGGAGAAUUAAAUUCACUAUAUAAAUUAGUUUUCUACUGGAGAUGGAGAUAAUUAUCUGAACCUAAAUGUUUUUAUUCCUGUUCCCCAUCAAGAGGAAGGGUGGACUUACCGAUUGAUGAUUAGCAAUUUUUUUACCUGAAAUUGCUGUUUUGUUAAAUUGAGAUUUUUCCCUACGGACCUGGACCUACUAAAUUAAGUCAAAUGAGUAUUCCUCUGUCAAAGCACUGGUACGUAAUCACGUUGAUAUCUGUUGGUUAAUCUGAAAUGGAAGGAAGCACGUCCGUUCAUCAAUAAUACUUACAGCUUGUUCGGGAGAGAUUAAAAAAUCUAAUUUUAAUCUAAGUCUAAGUCAAAGUCAAACAAUCAAUAUUAACUACAUCUUUCAUCGGUCCCACAACUUUUCAACCAUAUAUUUCAAAAACUUCUAUCACAAUUAACUAAAAAUUCUAAUUUUAAUCUCUACCAAACACCCUCUGAUAUGAUCCGGGUUAGGCCAAAGUCGGCCGCAUAGUAUGCUUCGGGACCAAAGUUGCAAUUUUUCGCAAGAAUCAUUUUUUGACUCAAUUUCUUAUUUUUGUCAAGUUUAUUAUUUUGGGACUCUUAAAUCCUAUUUUGACUCAAUUUCUUAUUUUUGGCAAGUUUAUUAUUUUAGGACUCUUAAAUUAGGUUUUUUUUUUUUUUUUUUUUUUCCAUAUUUCUAGACUUUAGCAUAAAUAGAAAAUUUAUUUCAUUAUUGUAUUCGAAGACUUUGAGAAUUAAUUCUAGAGGCUUUUCGCUUCCAAUAUUUGUUCUUGUGUGGAACAACCGAACUGAUCAAGAUUUCGCGAUCUUUUGGCAUUCAAAACUUGGGUAAGAUUCAUUUCAUUGUGUAAUCAAAAGGUCCUUCUUGUCUUUGUUACUUUGGGGUUGUUUGAUUCAUUAAUUGGUUGGAUUAAAUCCAAAUCCGGAUUAAAUUUAUGAGUUUUGUGAUCAAAAGAUCAAUAGUUUAAUAUACUAUUGGUUGUUUGGUCUGCAAAUUUGUGAAUUGAGUCCUAAACUUUGAUUUUUGGCUUUCUUAGGGUUUGUGUAAUUUUUCGUGGGUUUAAAAGCGGUCUAGCCAUCCUGGUUCACAUCACCCUCCUAAUAAAAUUAUUCAUGCAACGUGCUGAUUAACAGGGCUGAUGUUAUGAGUGGACUUUGCUACGGUCUUUUAAUUGCACUUCUAUGAACCAGUUCUCUCAGGAAUUAGCUUGCAACCUUUUGCGUGUUACUUCCAUACUUUGCAGCCACAUGUAGUACACUUCUAUAUGUCUAAAAUGUGUAAUUGUAUUAGGGGAUGGAAGUCAUAGUCCCAGACCCAACUGCACCACCUUCAGGAUCUGGCAUGAUUGAGUCGAAGUCAGUGGGAACUUUUUCAUCAAUGCAGAAACAAGAAGGUCACAGAGGAAUCUUUGUGGAUAGGGGAGUAGGAUCUCCUAGGCUAGUAAAAUCUGCAAGUGCUGCGUCAUUCACGGCUGACCUCAAACUUUAUUCAGAAGCCAAGGUAUGUAGGAACUGAAAGAAGACUGAGUGUAAAAUAUAAGAUUUUUGGCCCUAGAAAUGCAUACUUCUAAUUCAUUACCCACUGUAAAUUGUUAGAACUCUAUGCCCGCCGCUGCAGGAGCUGUUGCAGCUGCAGCUGUAGCAGAUCAGAUGCUUGGGCCAAAGGAGGAUAGACAUCUAGCAAUUGUGCUGGUACACUCUUAGUUUCUUUUUUUCUGACUUUUGAUCAUACAUUUCAUAAUCUGUUUCUUUCAUUCAAGCUUUGAAAUACUGUAUACUACAUAUUCACUAAAAUUCUUGCAGGAAGAUACUUUUGUCAUCCAUACUGGGCUUUGAAUUUUCAUUGGUUGUAAAUUUAUACCUCAGAAGUAUGUUAUUCUAAUCUCCACAGGUUGGAUUGCCUGCUCGUGGUAAAACUUUUACUGCAGCUAAACUUACUAGAUAUCUACGUUGGUUAGGGCAUGAGACCAAACACUUCAAUGUUGGGAAGGUGAAUACCUUUUUUAACUUUUAUUGCUCAUUAAUUUUAUAGACUUAUGGAAACAGGAGAAGCUGAAUAAUUGGUAUAUUUUUGUUCACAGUAUCGAAGACUAAAGCAUGGAAUUAAUCAGGUUUGUCAAUUGGUCAGAUAUCACCUUUUUCCUCACGUUUCUGUAUAUUCUUUCAUAUAUCAGAAAUAGCUUUAGAAUUUCUACAUUCUAGAGCAGUUGAAUUCACAUAUCUUAGAAACAUCUUGGGACUAUACGUUCAGGUCUUUUAACAAAUUGAGACGUCCUUAAUUCCCUCAGACGUGAUUAAAUUCUCUCUAUUUCUCGUUCUCAUGACAAUUGGUCAUCAAAACUCAAAAUUUCUCUGCACAAUGCUCGAUAUUUGGGGUUAAAUGAAUAAGAUCUUUUAUUCUUGCUCCUCGUACUACUAAAGGCACGACCGCACGAAUGCCAAUCAGACACGUGGUCCACAUUUUAUUCAAAUCUGGUCAGUUAAGGAAAAUUCACCACCCAUAUGCAUGUAAUAUAUGUUUUCAUUGCAAUAAAAUGGUAUUUCUCUUCGUAUUUUUAAAAUAAGAACAAAAACACUGUACUGGCCGUAAAACAAUCACGAAACUGAAGAUGCUAUCAUCUGAGAACCGGUAGGAAUACCAACAGUGGUAUACGGGCAAGUGUUGAUUCUGUUUUCCAUCUCAUGACUCAUAUUUCAGAUUUUAACCCUUUGAACGAUAUGAGAUCUAACAUUUACAGAGAGAAAAGGUAAAUGAAAGAAGAUAGUAUGCCCACUUUUUUAACUAUGAUCAACAUAUGAGCUGUCCAUCUUCAAUUGUUGGGAAGAGUAACAAAACCCCAUUGCUUGCUGCCUUUAGGAGAGUCCCAUUGCUUUUUAGGUUUUUCCAUAACCUUCUCCACCUCAAUUGUUUAGAUUUUUUAUCGAGAUAGCCCAGAAUGGAUUGAUCUAUGGCCACCCAACAUACCAGGUCUGAUGUUGGAGCCAAAAUAACUUCUUUGGGCUAGUGGCCAACAAUGAUUAAUAGAUAUUUCUUCGAAAUUCACUUUCUGAAAUUAAUAAAUGGUUUUAUAGAUUGCUCAUGGUCCACGUGGAUAAAAAGCUCCAAUAUUCUUAAUGCCAUAACAAGUAUACAAUGUUGGAAACUUUUACCGGCCAGUUUCACAAUUCAUACACAUAGCAUCAAAUUAUUUCCUGGAAAUAUACUUGCAAGAAUAUUUCAACUGCCCCUUUGAAAUGUUCAGCAUCAUAAUACUCCUUCAAAAUGUUUAGUUAUGACAUGAGUGUAAUAACUGAUAAAACAGUCUGGAAUAUGAGCUCCAUGACAGCUAAAUUCAAUAAUAUGCUCAAAGGAUUUGAAAGGGUUGUACUAAUUAGAUUUGUCAAACUGUGGUGGCCAUUUGAUUUAGCAUUCUUUACGAACUUAAAUUUUCUUGGUGGCUGAAGCUAUUUUUCUAGAUACCCCUUUCAUCUUCUUACAAAAUAUCUUGAUGCAGACUGCAGAUUUUUUCCGAGGUGACAAUCCAGAAGGCUUGGAAGCACGCAAUGAGGUAAUUGUUUACCAGGAAAACCAUUUUAAAUCAUGAGAAUAUUUUAGUAAGCUGUAUAAGUUUUAUCAGCUGAAAUCACCACCAAAUUAGCAUGGAUUCAAAGUAAUUUCUCUUGUAACUAUACUUCUUCCUCGAUAACAUAUAAUAAGGGUUAUACUGUGAUAGGCACUUGCCAUUCUAGAAGUGGAGAUAUUAAUGAUAUCUUUGUCUUGUCAUUUUCGCUAUGCCUCCAUUUUGGUAUUCUAAUAAGAUUUUCAAUUCAAAAGUCAAUUGCUUUUAUUGGACAUUUCCUUAUACCCUUAGCAAAGACUUAAUGUUUCAAGACUGUUUGCACCCCUUUCUCUCUCAUUCUGCAUAAUUUAGUAUAGAAAAAUUGGGAAAAGAAAAUUUGAGGAUUACAACCAUGACAGUACCCCAAAAGUGUUGUUUGUGAUAUUAUUCUCUGUUUAUAAUAGGGAAAUUAGAGCUUUUGGCAUCUAUGGUAUGCUACAUGCUCAAAUUUGAUUAAUGAAAAGCUGUAUGCAUGCUGUUUGCUUGUGUAGUGUAAGCAUGAUAUAUUUGUGAGAGACUUUUGUGGCUAUACAUGCAUGGCUUUUCCUAACUAAUUUCAUGCCAUUCAGUUGCCACCCUUGGAAAUAUGAAAUGUGGCUAAUUUUGCAAACUCAAGAUUUGCCUGAUCAUUAUCUUCUCAUUGGUGAAAUGGCAUGAGUCAAAAGUCUCUCGUAUGUAUGACCUUCUGCUCUAUGCGUCUAUCACAUUCAGAUCUUCCCUUGAUUUUUUUCUCCUGUUCACAGUUUCUUUGGAAAUAAUAUUUGUAAACACUGUGUAAAUCUCCUCUUUUAGUUUUUCUAGAUGUUAGUAUCUUUUGUAUAGCUGUAAAUUAGUUCUUCCCAAUCUUGUAAUCUCUAAUCCUAUAAAUAUGUAAUUUUAAUUCUUUUAAAUUCUUCAGUCCUUUCCAAAUGAUGUGAAUAUGACAUGGCUGAUUUACAAGCUGUUUAUAAAUGUCAAUUGAAGAUAUCUAGGCUUCUUACUCAUGACUUCUUUUGCUGUACUUGCAAGUUUGUGGUUGCUGAUAGCAUUGGGCAUUGCAUUUUUCUCUUAAAACUUACCUGCUGAAAGAAAUUUUUAAAUUUUGAACUUCUUUUGCUGUUUUUUGUUGUUUCUUAUUUUAAGUCAUGCCCUGAAUUGGCCUUUUUCCUUGCACAUAGUUUUAAUAUGUCACCUGCAACUAGGUAGCAGCUCUUGCAAUGGAAGAUAUGAUAUCUUGGAUGCAAGAGGGUGGACAGGUAAGUUUUAUUUUUAAUUGUGAUAAUCUGCUACAUAUAUUUUACCCUGUUCUAAUAUAAAUUUUACGUGCAUUUAGGUGGGAAUAUUUGAUGCCACAAACAGUACAAGGAAUAGGAGGAAUAUGCUUAUGAAAAUGGCUGAAGGAAAAUGCAAGGUAUGAUGAUUUUGCGGCUAGUUGAUUAUAAUUCUGCGAGGAACUGUGCAGAGUAAGACUCAAUUUGUGGCAAAUCUUCCAAUAAAAUUUUCAUAGAUGUUAUAAUAGUUUGACAUGCAUAACAUGAAAGAUGAUCGUAGAGAAGCCACUUGAGGUUUCUCCCUCUCCCGCCCUUCUUUUUUUUUUUUUUUUUGGGGGUAUUGGGGCAGCGGUCUUGUGUGUUGGGUUAAGACUUCUGAAACAGAAGCUAGAGAAAGAUUCCUACAAUGCAGACUAUAGGUUAUGUGAAUUUUCCUGGGUGUGGACCACAAUGCCUUUGAGUACAAGUGCACACCACUCAACUCUGUAAGGCCUCUUUGUUUGUUUUCGACAGCAGUGCACAAGUUAUAUUUAAUCUGUGAUGGUGGUUUGCCUUGAUAUUCUUGCUUGGCAUCUAAUUUUUUAUAUGACAUAAACCAUAGCUGAUUCUCGGUGCCUUUUAGAGUGAGAGCCUGUUAGUGUGAUUACAUGUUCUUUGCUUCAGAUUAUCUUUUUGGAGACAAUAUGCAAUGAUCAGCAAAUAAUUGAAAGAAAUAUACGCCUCAAAGUUCAGCAGAGCCCUGACUAUGCGGAAGAGUAUGACUAAACUCGUUUCAUUGUAAUGCUAACCCACUGUAAUUUUACGUCGUGAUUCAUGAUAUUUUCAGGCCGGAUUUUGAAGCUGGAUAUCAUGACUUCAAACAUCGACUUGAGAACUAUGACAAAGUAGUUUCUUGAAACAUACUAUAGCUCAAGUUUUUAUUAUUAUUUUUUUGAUGGAUGCUAUGGGUAAUAGUGUUUUAUAGGUAGCAUUUUCUGAUUUCAGGUUUAUGAACCCGUAGAAGAAGGCUCUUAUAUCAAAAUGAUUGAUAUGGUCAGUGGCCAUGGUGGACAAAUACAAGUAAAACCUCCUUUCCAUCAUGUCUAAAUCUUAUCAAAUUAGUUUUGUUCAGUAUAUUUUCUAUAAAAUCAAAUUUGAAUAUCUAUUACAUAUAUAUGCAAGGUUGCUUCUCUUGCAUGAAUGGUUGCGUAAAAUAAUAGAAAAGAGACAACAAUCUUGUAUGCAAACAAUCUCCAAUAAAUCCUUGGUGGUGCUAGAAAUUUCCUUUUAUGCUUAAUUUAUUGGCACAUACAGCAGUUCCAUACACAUCGUAUUAAUUUGCCAUUAUAUGAUUUUGGAUCUGCAGAUGAUUUCUAUCUUUUUGAUAAAACCAAAUUUAAUAAUAAAUUGAAACACGUGUGAUUAGUGAUAUAGAGAGGUCCUACGAUUUAGACAAAAAUUGAUUCUCCAAUCAAUGCUAGAGUUCAUAAAUCUUCUAAGGAAAAAACCUGAAGAAAAAACUCGAAACUGGGAGCAGUAGAUUUGAUUAAUUCUUGUAAUUUUCUUGGAUUAUCUGACUUUUUAUUGAGCCACGUUAAUUAUAUUCUUUAUCAUUCCCUCCUCCAUAAAAGAAAAUUGCCAUUAGUUUGCUAGUGGUUGCCUGAAUCUUCUUCUCCAAGAUUGAAUUAAUAAGCUGGGAACAUUGAAUGUAAGAUGUAUUCUUCAAGUAAGGUGCCAAAGUCAAUUUCGUCAAGAUUAACCCAUAAAGAGAUGGGAAGAAGGAAAUAGUUUGAUAAAGAAAAAAAGAGGUGAAGGGAAGAAAGAGCAAUGAAAUAAAGAAGAAAUUGAGGGUCUCUUUCUUGGUUUAAUAAGUAAAGGGAAUGUCGGUUAUAUUAGAGUAUAUUUCCAUGUAGAGGUUAAUAAAAUCACCGAAAAUCAGGGAUUAAUUCCAUUGUAUAGCUAAUUAUUUUCUUUCCUUAUAUAGCUUGUAAUAUUCUAUAAAUCAAAUGUAAUACACACGAGAAGAUUCAUUCUGCAAAAUAUUGUCAUGGUAUCAGAGACCUAAAAUCCUCUUUCUCGUACUUGUGAUCGUCCUCGUGUGUUCGACACCAUCCAGGGGCGAACCCACAUGGGGUCAUGUGGGGUCAAAUGACCCCACAGUUUUUUUUUUUUUUUUUUUUUUUGAAAACGGUUAUCCAUGAAUAUUUGGGAGUUCCAAUUAAUUCCUAGCCGGCUAGCCCAAUGACUCCAAUCCAUUAUCCAUAUCCAUUAAUCCAUAGUCCAUAGAUGAUAGACCUAAGACCAUAAUCCACUCUCCACUCCAUUGUCUUCCCACCGAUUUCUGAUGAGAAAAAUGUAGGAAAAUUUGAAAACUUAAUGAAUUCUAAAGUACGAAAAACGUUAUCUUUUAAGAGAUGUUUCUUUCCUAUCCAACGAAGUCACUAUUGGGGUAUGAUAGAAAAUCUCUCUUAGAAUACAAUGGAGGCGUUUGAUUCAAAUUGUGACUAUUUGAUCAAACCAAGAAGACACUCGAAAAAGAACUGAUGAUGCCAAGAGAAAGAGAGAAGAAUAUUUUUUAAUGUAUUUUGCAAACGAGAAUUCGCCCAGAAUUUAUAGAAAUUAAGGCAACCGUUUGAAUAGGUGUAUCCCUUAAAAUGAAGAACACAUAUGUUGGAAGUAGCAGUCAAAACGAACAAAUGCACCUAUUCAAAGACUUUUGAAAAUAAAAUUCUCUUUCGGGGGCGUUGCCCUUUGCGCAACAACAAACACUAGUCGAAGUGGCAAAUCAUUCGCAAAACAAAAAAAUAAAUACAUGCAAAAUGAUGAAAAAUAUCUAACAAUUUCUUCCCAAACAGCAGCGAAGCCUUCAUUUUUGACCCCACAGUCUGAAGUCUAUGGGUCCGCCCCUGGCACCAUCUCGUGUUUUUUCGGCAAUCUAUAGUUGGUAGGUGGUUGAUCGUAGUCGACGACUGUCAUCGGACCACUGUUCAUUGAAGUUCGUAUCUUCGGUGGUCGCAUCCCUUCUCUUCCUCAUUGGUUGAGUUUCUCGGCCUUCGUCUUUGUCUCUAUCUUUGUCUUGCGUCGCGCCUCCCGGUUUGCUCCGCCUAGUGGUGUUUAGUCAUAGUUUCCUUCUCAGUUCAGUUGUUGAUUCUUGGUCGAGGGAGGUUUUUGGCAUCUCGGUGUUGGGUUGGGGACUUCACAUCUCCAGUUGAAUUCUUCUUUGUAUUAACUUGGUUUCUUCUCUUUCUCCUGGACUGGGACGUGAAUUGUGGUGGUGUUGGGCUAUUGGGCUUGAUUCAUUAUUAGUUAAGCUGAAUUAUUUGAAUAGUGUUGGUCGAUUGUAUUUGGGCUACUCUUUUAAUUAAGCCCCCGUUUGAGCUCCAUUAUUUCUCAUUACAUUAAAUCAAAAUUUUCUCUAUCCCUACUUUUAACCACACAAUUUUCAAUAAAAUAAUAUUACACGUAAAUCAAAAGUUUUUCAACAACUCAUUUUAAAAAAAACACUAUUCAUCUCAUUAUAAUCUACAAAUAAUGGGGCUCAAAUGGGGGCUAAUUAUUAGUUCCAUCAUGUCAACCGAUAAGAAUUGAGUCGGUUUGUAUUCGCUUUUUUGGAAAAAAUUAUUCUUCAUGGGCUUUUCACUUUCAAUUGUUGGUUGAAGGCAAAGGCGAUCUUUGGGGAUAUAUUGAUGGAGAUCUUCCUUCUCCUGAUCAAGAGAAGGAUAAAGAAAAGUAUAUUGCUUGAAAAACCAAAGAUUCUCAACUUAUGGCCUGGAUCAUUGGAUCAGUUGAUGAGUAGAUUGUCCUUAAUCUCAGACCUUACAAGUCAGUCCGUGCUAUGUGGGAGUUCUUGAAGAAAGUCUAUACUCAAAGUAAUAAUGCUUGGCGACUUCAGUUGGAGUUUGAAUUAGCAAAUUUCUCUCAUGUUCCAUUGAAGAAUAUUAUUCAGGAUUCUCUAACCUUUGGGCCGAGUACACAAAUAUUAUCUACGCUUUGGUUUCAUUAAACAAUUUGGAGGCUAUCCAAGUUGUACACGAAGUCACCAAGAGAGAUCAAUUUCUUAUGAAAUUAUGAACUGAAUUUGAAUCCACCCGAUCUGGUCUUAUGAAUUGCGAGUCUCUUUCAUCACUGGAUGGUUGUUUGGGUGAAUUACUGAGGGAGGAGCAGUGUCUUAUCACUCGCGCUUCUUUGGAACAACAACAGAAUAAUGUAGCACCGGCUCUCAUUGCUUAUGUGGCUCAAGGAAAAUUCAAGCAUCGGGAUAUGUCUGUUUGCAAUGUUAUAGUUGUAAGGGAUUUGGUUACAUAGCUCUUCAGUGUCCUAAAAAAGUUUGCAAUUAUUGCAAGAAGUCUGACUAUGUUAUUAAGGAGUGCCCCACUUGUCCUCCACGCAACAUUGGAGCAAAUUAUAUUGCUGUUGCAACUUUAGCCUCUAAUUCUGCUUUACCACCUGCUCCUUUUCAAGUUCCAACAUUUCUCAACUCUUCUCAAACUCACAUAACUCCUGAGAUGAUUCAACAAACGAUUAUCUCUGCUUUGGGUAUCUCAGGUAAUACACCAUCUACUCGUUCUUCUUGAUUAUUAGACUCAGGUGCCUCUAACAAUAUGACUCACGAUCCUUUGUUACUUUGUAACCUUAGACCAUAUAUAGGACCUUUCAAUGUACACACUGCCGAUGGUAACAAACUUCCUUUCUUCGCUGUGGGAGAUAUAUCACUUUAACCUCUCCUCAUUUAUUAACUAAUCUUUAUCUAUCGGGUAACUUAUUGAUAAUAAUUGUAUUGUCUCUUUUUCUUCUUCUAAUUGUCAUGUACAAGAUCAGAUGUCUGGAAGGACUAUCGAAAGGGACCUAAAGUGGGACGUCUGUUUCCUAUUUCAUAAAAGCCUAUUCCAUUUUCUUCUUCCGUUUGUAAUUCUGCCACUUUAGAUAUUUUUAAGUGGCAUAACAAAUUGGGACACCCCAAUUCGAAUGUGCUACUACACUUGUUAAACUCGGGUUUGCUUGGUAAUAAAAAUGCUGCUUCAGUUAUCUCUCUCGAUUGUGCGUCAUGUAAACUUGCUAAAAGUAAAGUUCUACCAUUCCCAUCUCAUGAUUCUCGUGCUUUACAAAUUUUCGAUAUUAUUCGUAGUGAUGUAUAGGGUGUUGCACCUGUGGUAUCCUAUGCACAUUAUAAAUACUUUGUUAUCUUUAUCGAUGAUUAUAAUCGAUUUACAUGGAUUUAUUUUCUUCGUGCAAAGAGUUAUGUCUUCUUUGCUUUUCAAGUCUUUCUUGCUCUCAUUGACAAUCAAUUUUAUUCCUCGAUCAAAGUCUUAAGAUCUGAUUCAGGAGGUGAAUGAAUGUCUAGAGCUUUUCAAUCUUUCUUACAACUCAAAUGUAUCAUUUCUCAGCGAUCUUACCCUUCUACGCCUCAACAAAACGGCGUGGCAGAACGCAAGAAUCGUUAUGUUCUUGAUAUGGUUCGAGCUCUUUUGAUUGAGUAUUCUGUUCCCUCUCGUUUUUUGUGUGAAGCAUUGUAUACCGCUGUGCAUCUCAUAAACCGAUUACAUUCUCUCACUUUUAGUAAUGUUUCUUCAUUUUUGAAAAUAUUUGGUUAUCAUCCCACAUAUUCUCAUCUCCGUCCCUUUAAGUCUGUAUGUUUUGUUCAUUUGCAAUCACAUGAAAGGACAAAACUUACUCUUCAAUCUGUCAAGUGUGCCUUUCUGGGAUAUGGUGGGACUAAAAAAUGGUACAUCUGUUAUGAUCCUACAUCACAACGAAUUCGUAUUUUUCAUAAUAUUAUUAUUUUUGAAAAAUAAUCAUUCUUCAGUUCAGAAACUGUAGUUUCUCCUCCUGUGUUCUCUAUGUUACCUGAUUUCCCUGCAGAACCAUCUCGGUACAAGCCAGCCUUGUUUACGCUCGUAGGCAUGUUGCAUCCAUCACUAAUCUAGAUCUUGUUUCUCCGAUAAUGGUCCUUCCAAGCUUCUCUGAUCCUCUACCUACGACUCCUGAUCCUGCACAUGAUGAUGUGCCGCCUCCCGUCCCUCUUCGUCUUACUUCUCAUGUUUCUCGACCACCCAAUAGGUAUGGUUUCUCCUUCCGUAGUUCUAUGUCCGCUACACUUAAUUCGAUUUCUAUUCCUUCUUCCCAUAGACAAGCUAUAGAACAUGAAUGUUGGUAACAGGCUCGAGGCUCUUCAGGCCAAUCAGACCUAGGAUAUUAAGUGUGAAACCCAUUGGAAGUAAAUGAGUAUAUUUCGUUAAACUUCGUUCUGAUGAUUCUCUUGAGUGUUAUAAGGCUCGAUUAGUUGUUUUGGGUAAUCAUCGGGAGUAUGAUGAGACAUUUGCUCUUGUAGCAAAAAUGACCACAGUUCAUCUCUUGUUAUUGCUUGCCACUUCCCAAUCAUGGUUUUUACAUCAAAUGGAUGUGAAGAACGCAUUCCUACAUGUACACCUCAAGGAGGAUAUUUAUAUGAAACUUCCAUCUGGUAUGCCUCUUCCCUUAAUUGACUCUAGAUAUUGGCUAAAAUGCUUUUUGUAUGAUCUUAAGUAGGCUCAUUGGGCAUGGUUGACAAAUUUCGUUGUACUCUUUUGGAUUUCUUAUUUACCCGAAGUCAGUAUGAGGCAUCUCUGUUUUUCACAAGAGUAUUGUUGGCAUUGUCUUUUUAUUGGUAGAUGUGGAUGAUAUUAUUAUCUCUGGAUUUGAUCACAGUCUUAUCCAGAAACUUCAGCAGCAUCUUCACUCGAUUUUUCACAUGAAAGACCUUGUUCAACUUACUUUCUUGGUUUAGAGGUACAUACCACAUCAGAUGGUAUCUUCUUGAAUCAACAUGAGUAUAUUUGAAGCCUCCUCAGUUGAUACGCUGUUGGAGCAUAAUGCCAAAUAUCGAGAAGAUGGAGGAGAUUUUCUUCCAGAUUCUACUCUUUAUUGGAAGUUUGUAGGUAGUCUCAUCCAUCUCACCAUCACACGUCCGGAUAUUUCCUAUGCGGUUCAUACUAUAAGCAAGUUUAUGGACGCUCCUCAUCAUCUUCAUUUGGUAGCCGUUCGUCGCAUUAUUUGCUAUCUUAUUGAAACUCCUCAUCGUGAUCUUUUCUUCCCUGGGGGGUCAUCUCUUGAGCUCACAGCUUAUAGUGAUGCUGAUUGUGCUGGUUGUCCUGAUUCCCGUCGAUCUGCUAUUGGAUGGUAUAUUUUUUUUUGGUGAUGCUCUCAUUUCUUGGAAAUGUAAUAAACAAGAAUGUGUUUCUAAGUCUUCCACUGAGGCUGAAUACCGAGCUAUAUCCGCUGCAUGUUUUGAGGUUACGUGGUUGCAUGGUCUUUUGGCAGAACUUGGUAUCUCUCAAUCAUAGUUUACACCCUUUCAUGGUAACAACAUUAGUGCUAUUUAGAUUGCGGCCAAUCCUGUGUAACAUGAACGCAGCAUAUAGAAGUCGAUUGUCAUUACAUCCGGAAUGCCUAUGAUUCCAAAGUCAUAUCUCUUCCCCAUGUUUCCACUUCACAACAGGGUACACAUAUCUUCACCAAAUUGUUAACUCGCCUCCUUCAUAACUUUCUCGUGAGUAAAUUGAUGCUUGUGGACUCCCCAACAUCAAUCGGGUCCGGGGGCGGGGGUUGUCAUUAGAGUAUAUUUCCAUGUAUAGGUUAAUAAAUCACAAACAAUCAGGAUUAAUUCCAUUGUAUAGCUAAUUAUUUUCUUUCCUUAAUAGCUUGUAAUAUUUUUAAAUCAAAUGUAAUACACACGAGAAGAUUCAUUCUGCAAAAUAUUGUCACGUUAAUCCCACAAUAAAAAAGGACCUAAAUAUGGAAUUUAGUUUUCGACCAGUUCUUGCUUUGGACUUUAUUUUAUCAAAUUUCCUUUCUAUGUAUUUCAAUUAGAUGAUGUUAAGUAGUUGAGCUUUGCAUUCUACCUUCCUAGUUUGUUAAGGACCUCAAUUUUUGGCAUUCAUCCAGUCUGAUUUUUGUUACAUUCUUCCUCACAUGCAUUUAUAUUUCAUUAUUUCAGGAUGAGAAUAAAUUAGAUUGGGAUAUCAGUAAAAGCCAUUUGAUCAAUGGUCCGUAGAUUGUGUAACUAUUACUUAACUUCAGCUACAGUCUGUAGGUUGUAUAAUUGUUAAAAAAACAUGUGAUUCUACUUCUAUAGAUUAUUAAAAUUAUGAUCUUUUUUUAAUGUUAUGGUCUAUUUUUGCUUCGGUAAAAAGUUGAAGCUACUGUUUGAACAAUAAUUUUAGAGUUUUGUUCUGAAUUUCUUGGCUUCCCAUUGCUUUUCUCCUUUUCCUUUCAAUGGAAAACAUCAUUGCUGGUUGCUACCUAAUUGUGAAUAUUUGUGAAACAGGUGAACAACAUUAGUGGCUAUCUUCCUGGUCGUAUAGUAUUUUUCCUGGUACGUCCUAUUUCAUUGUGUCGUAACACUUACCUACUCGUCUUGCAAUAUUACAUGGCUGUUUCUAUAGAUAUACCAUUCUAUCAUUAUCAAUGUCAAGUGUGAACAGAAGCACUUUUAACGAUGUAUAAGGUUCUAACCCAGAAAAGUUCAUGUAAGAGACCUUGGUCCACGUAGUACUCUUGAGGAGAUUUCCUUUGUCCCAAUCUAACUGGUGAUAAAAGUGCCAGGGAUUACAUAAAAUUAAAAAUGAUAAAUUUCAACUGUUCCCGAUGACCCAGGGUACUGUAUAUAUGUUUUCUUCUCAAUGUUGUUGCAAUUAGCAUAUUUGGAUCAUUAGGUUUCUCUAAACCUGUUUCUUCAAGCUGUAUGCUGCUUUCCCAUCUAUAUUUUGAACUUGCGACUUAUUAUAUAUGUAAAAGGAUCUGGAGGAAAAGGCUUUGCUCUAUAACAUUCCUCUCUUAUGAUCUAAGUAUUAUUUUUUCUCUUCAUCCGGCUAUUUAUUCAUUUAUUUUUUAUUUUGCCCCUAUUUGGGCCCCAUCCUUUAAAAAACAAUUUUCUUCAAAUUCAUUUUCAACCAUAUAUUCUCCCAAUAAAUAAUUUUGCACAUAAAUUCAAUUUUUUUUUUCUAUUUUUUAACUGCACGUUCUCUAAAAAAAAAAAUCACUUUUUGAUAAUCUAUUCUCAAAAAAUGGGGCUCCCCCCCCCCCCCCUCCCCCUUUCUUUUGCACUGCUUUAAAUAUAUUACAUAAAGAUAUGACUUCAGAUUGUGUUUCUUUCCAUUUUGCAGGUGAAUACACAUCUGACG